AAGACUGUACUUUCAGGGAUCAUUUCUAUAGGUCGUUUCUAGAGAAGUUUCUCUGAAUGUUAGAGCACCUGAAACCACGAGGAGGAGGUGUGGUGUUCUGUCCUGAGCAUGAAGCUGGUUAUUGGUGUUGCUUCUGCAGCUGCCAUUAGCCAUUGAUGAUCGCUCUUCUCUUCCUUUGGGAGAGUGAAAGGGAGAGAAUGCCAUCUGAGU